rnacentral:rRNA from 1 species
GACAGAGGGUGCAAACGUUGUUCGGAAUUACUGGGCGUAAAGCGUGUGUAGGCGGCCACGUAAGUCGGAUGUGAAAGCCCCAGGCUCAACCUGGGAAGUGCACUCGAUACUGCGUGGCUUGAGUAUCGGAGAGGUUGGUGGAAUUCUCGGUGUAGAGGUGAAAUUCGUAGAUAUUCGGAAGAACACCAGUGGCGAAGGCGGCUCACUGGCCCGGUACUGACGCUGAGAUACGAAAGCGUGGGGAGCAAACAGG